AGGAAAUCUUUAUGGAACUCAUUAUUAAUAUUAAUUUUAACAGAGUACCUCCGAGAUUCAACUACGGAAGCAUGUUCAUCAUUUAUCUGGAGCUGCAGGUCUAGGAGAAAAAAAUACAUUACAUGGACAAAUAGAAAAUUUCAGUAUUGAAAACUCAGUAUACAUUCUUUCUUGCAUGAGUGGAUCAAGAAACUUUGACGGCUAGAGGAUCCAAGAAAUGUAGGCAUACCAGUAGCCCACGUGGGUAUAGGAAAAAGUGAAUAUUUUUCUGAACGAUUAUUCUACAAGUGUGUAUCCAAGCUGAUCAAUUCAUAACACUUUCUCUGACGAGAAGUGAACUGCACAUUCAAAUGAACUGCCAUCACAACUGUGGACUUCCUAAAUCACAGGACAAAUU